AUGGCCACACAUCACCUCACUGCGCUCCCUCUUCCGGCGUGGGCCAACCAUAAGCUUAGCAAGAUCUCUCGCAACUUCAUAUGGCAAGGCGACAAUUCGGAGAAUGCGACCGGAGGGCACUCCCUGGUAAACUGGAAGACGGUGUGCAGGCCAAAGGCCCUAGGUGGGCUGGGAAUCACAGACCUAGGGAGAUUUGGUCGGGCUCUCCGCUUACGCUGGCCAUGGCUAAUGUGGACCGACCCUGACCGUCAGUGGGUGGGCUCUGCCCUACCCUGCGACGACUCGGAUAUGGCGCUAUUCAGAGCUUCGACCUCCAUCGUGCUGGGUAACGGCCACAAAGCUCUAUUCUGGCAUGAUGACUGG
rnacentral:rRNA from 1 species